UGGGGAAUUUUGGACAAUGGGCGAAAGCCUGAUCCAGCAAUGCCGCGUGUGUGAAGAAGGCCUUCGGGUUGUAAAGCACUUUUGUCCGGAAAGAAAUCCUUGGCUCUAAUACAGUCGGGGGAUGACGGUACCGGAAGAAUAAGCACCGGCUAACUACGUGCCAGCAGCCGCGGUAAUACGUAGGGUGCAAGCGUUAAUCGGAAUUACUGGGCGUAAAGCGUGCGCAGGCGGUUUGCUAAGACCGAUGUGAAAUCCCCGGGCUCAACCUGGAAACUGCAUUGGUGACUGGCAGGCUAGAGUAUGGCAGAGGGGGGUAGAAUUCCACGUGUAGCAGUGAAAUGCGUAGAGAUGUGGAGGAAUACCGAUGGCGAAGGCAGCCCCCUGGGCCAAUACUGACGCUCAUGCACGAAAGCGUGGGGAGCAAACAGGAUUAGAUACCCUGGUAGUCCACGCCCUAAACGAUGUCAACUAGUUGUUGGGGAUUCAUUUCCUUAGUAACGUAGCUAACGCGUGAAGUUGACCGCCUGGGGAGUACGGUCGCAAGAUUAAAACUCAAAGGAAUUGACGGGGUCAUAGCUGUUUCCU
rnacentral:rRNA from 1 species